CAGCAGCACGGUAAAACGAAGGGUGCAAGCGUUAAUCGGAAUUACUGGGCGUAAAGCGUGCGUAGGCGGUUUGUUAAGUCUGUUGUGAAAUCCCCGGGCUCAACCUGGGAAUGGCAAUGGAUACUGGCAAGCUAGAGUGUGUCAGAGGAUGGUGGAAUUCCCGGUGUAGCGGUGAAAUGCGUAGAGAUCGGGAGGAACAUCAGUGGCGAAGGCGGCCAUCUGGGACAACACUGACGCUGAGGCACGGAAGCGUGGGGAGCAAACAGGAUUAGAUACCCCUGUAGUCCCUGUCUCUUAUACA
rnacentral:rRNA from 1 species